rnacentral:rRNA from 1 species
AUUGAACGCUGGCGGCAGGCCUAACACAUGCAAGUCGGGCGGAUGAAGGGAGCUUGCUCCUGGAUUCAGCGGCGGACGGGUGAGUAAUGCCUAGGAAUCUGCCUGGUAGUGGGGGAUAACGUCCGGAAACGGGCGCUAAUACCGCAUACGUCCUGAGGGAGAAAGUGGGGGAUCUUCGGACCUCACGCUAUCAGAUGAGCCUAGGUCGGAUUAGCUAGUUGGUGGGGUAAAGGCCUACCAAGGCGACGAUCCGUAACUGGUCUGAGAGGAUGAUCAGUCACACUGGAACUGAGACACGGUCCAGACUCCUACGGGAGGCAGCAGUGGGGAAUAUUGGACAAUGGGCGAAAGCCUGAUCCAGCCAUGCCGCGGGUGUGAAGAAGGUCUUCGGAUUGUAAAGCACUUUAAGUUGGGAGGAAGGGCAGUAAGUUAAUACCUUGCUGUUUUGACGUUACCAACAGAAUAAGCACCGGCUAACUUCGUG